GCUUCUCUUGAGAGCGGCGGACGGGUGAGUAAUGCCUAGGAAUCUGCCUGGUAGUGGGGGAUAACGUUCGGAAACGGACGCUAAUACCGCAUACGUCCUACGGGAGAAAGCAGGGGACCUUCGGGCCUUGCGCUAUCAGAUGAGCCUAGGUCGGAUUAGCUAGUUGGUGAGGUAAUGGCUCACCAAGGCGACGAUCCGUAACUGGUCUGAGAGGAUGAUCAGUCACACUGGAACUGAGACACGGUCCAGACUCCUACGGGAGGCAGCAGUGGGGAAUAUUGGACAAUGGGCGAAAGCCUGAUCCAGCCAUGCCGCGUGUGUGAAGAAGGUCUUCGGAUUGUAAAGCACUUUAAGUUGGGAGGAAGGGUUGUAGAUUAAUACUCUGCAAUUUUGACGUUACCGACAGAAUAAGCACCGGCUAACUCUGUGCCAGCAGCCGCGGUAAUACAGAGGGUGCAAGCGUUAAUCGGAAUUACUGGGCGUAAAGCGCGCGUAGGUGGUUUGUUAAGUUGGAUGUGAAAUCCCCGGGCUCAACCUGGGAACUGCAUUCAAAACUGACUGACUAGAGUAUGGUAGAGGGUGGUGGAAUUUCCUGUGUAGCGGUGAAAUGCGUAGAUAUAGGAAGGAACACCAGUGGCGA
rnacentral:rRNA from 1 species